AGCAGCUGCCCCACUACAGGCUACAUUAUCCAGCCUCCUGGCAUUCAGGGCCAGUUUUUGCUGAUGGGAUAUGAGCCUGAGUGGUCUGUGUCACUCCCAGGGUGAGAAAGGAAUGUAGGUUCCAGUCAAGGUUUCUGGAAAUUAGUGAUUCAUCACUGAAUACAACAACUAGCACUGGGAUCUGCCAAGACAGGAAAAAUCACCAUGUCCCUGUGCCAAGGAGCUGUCUCUCAUUGCUUGUUGCAGAGAGGGAAGCAUGAAAGAAAUACAAUGCAAGAGAGGUUCUCUGUUGCUGAGUGGAGGUGGCCCAUAGCAAGGAUCUGAGAUUCAUCAACAGCCAGCAAAACAAUGGGGACUUCAGCCCUACAACUACAAGGAAAUGAAUUCUGCCAUCAACCUGGAGUAGCUUGGAACAGUCUUUCCCUAAGUCAAGCUUUCACAUGAGGGUGCAGCUGGUCAACACCAUGAUCCCAGUCUGAGAACCUGAGCUAAGUACCCAGCUAAAACACCCUGGACUCCUGACCCAGGAAAACUGUGAGAUAGUUAAUUUGUGUUGUUUUAACCUGCUAUUUUUGUGAUAAUUUGUUGUGCAGCAAUAGAGAGCUAACACACUCUCUAAAAGUAAUAAAGAUUUAAGCCCAUAAAGGGAGGCUAUUACAACAGAGGAGAGGUGGCCAACAAAUUUUGCAAGAUGAGAAACAGGUAGACAUAGGUCACUAAUUUAGAAGAACAGAAAAAGCACCUGCAGAAGGGGAAGCCAAAAAGUAACUAUCUGAUUUGGGACUCAGGAAGUAGAGAGACAAGUGCCUCUGAAGAAUGGGGUGCACAUGACACUGCAAACCGGAAGACUAGGCAGGAGGCUGCAUGAGGAGCUGCUGGACUCCCUAGAGUCCCCUCUCUGCCCCUACCCAGCCAAACAACUUUCCAACCCUCACCUCCACAGGAGGCAAAUGGUUACCCUCUGAGAUGCUGAAUCAGAUAGACUCUGGACUUGAGGACAUCUGUCACAAAGAAUAGUAGGUGUGAGGUGAAGUACUAAAACAGGAGUAUUAAGUGAGGCCCCUAUACUGAGCCAUGGAACUCUUCCCCCCUCACCCCCCAUCCUUUUCCCCUUUCCCUCACCCCCUUGGGAAGGAGACUGGAACAAUGUCUCUGUAGAAAUGAAGCUGAUAAUGCUUCUCCCUACCCUACUUCCACUCCAUGUGUGCACAUGUAUACACACGGAUAUGCACACAGCAUAUAAUCAGCUUUUUGUACCUCUUUUAUACUUAAGACAUGACUAGAAAAAAAAUUAGCAGACAUUUGAAAUCUCUAGUAUAGAAAAAAAUCAAAACAAAGAAGAAAAUGAGAGUCAGAAAAUGCAGGGAACAGGAAAAAAAAAACCUAAGCAAAAACAAUAUUUCAUCCAUGAAACAACAAAAUAGGAUCCUACUUACAAAGGGACACAUUCAGAAAACAAGAAAAAGCUCUUGGAUAUUAAAGAUUAAGAUAACAGGGAAAAAUGUUUAAAUUGACACCAUGUGUAGGAGAUAAAAGUGAGGCAAUCUCCCAGAAAAUAGCACACAAAGAUAGAAAAUAGGAAAGAAAAGAUAAGAAAAUUAGGUGAUCCAUCCCUGGAGGUCCAACUUCCAACCAACAGGAGUCAGAGAAAGAGAAAUGCAAAGAAAAUGGUUGAGUGAAAAUUAUUAAAGAAAUAUAUAAGAAAGUUCUCUUCUAUGGAGGAUCUCAUUAGAAACUUCCAGAGAAAAAAGGCAGGUGACAAAAUAUUAGAAAUCUGAAUGGCAUCUGACUUCCAAGGCAACACUGGGUUCUAAAAGACAAUGGAGGAGUUUCUGCAAAAUUCUGAGUGAAAACAAUUUUCAGCAUAAUGAUAUAUACUCAAUCAAAUUACUUAUCAAGUGUGAGGGAGGGAUAAUUGCAUUUUCAGAUAUUAAGCCCUCAGUCUCAAAAAAGUUACCUCUGAUGCACCAUUUCUAAGGAAGCUAGUGGAGGAUGCAGGCCACAAAACAAAGGAAUAAUCCAAAAAGGGGGAAAGCACUGGGUCUGGAAAUCAGAGAAUCUCAAAGAGGACAAAGGAAAAGGGUUACUGGGGUGCCAGUGAAGGGAGUUUCAGAAGGCUGAGUGUUGCAGACUUAGAAAGCAACCAGUCAACAGGUCGGGAACAUCUCCCAGGAAAUUGCACAAAUGACACAUGGCUUGGAGUACCUAUUUGUUUUCAAUAUGGUUUGUCAAAGGGUUUGCUAACAAUUGUAAUUAAGAACAAAGAAAAAUGAGAAGAUUAAAAAUUAAACUCCAGGACAACCAAUAAGUUAUAGAAGUGGAG
rnacentral:lncRNA from 10 species